AACGCGAAGAACCUUACCUGGCCUUGACAUGCACGGAACCCUUCAGAGAUGAGGGGGUGCCUUCGGGAACCGUGACACAGGUGCUGCAUGGCUGUCGUCAGCUCGUGUCGUGAGAUGUUGGGUUAAGUCCCGCAACGAGCGCAACCCUUGUCCUUAGUUGCCAGCACGUAAAGGUGGGAACUCUAAGGAGACCGCCGGUGACAAACCGGAGGAAGGUGGGGAUGACGUCAAGUCCUCAUGGCCCUUACGGCCAGGGCUACACACGUACUACAAUGGUCGGUACAGAGGGUUGCCAAGCCGCGAGGUGGAGCCAAUCCCAGAAAACCGAUCUCAGUCCGGAUCGGAGUCUGCAACUCGACUCCGUGAAGUCGGAAUCGCUAGUAAUCGCGGAUCAGCAAUGCCGCGGUGAAUACGUUCCCGGGCCUUGUACACACCGAUAGC
rnacentral:rRNA from 1 species